rnacentral:rRNA from 1 species
CUACGGGAGGCACCAGUGGGGAAUAUUGCACAAUGGGGGAAACCCUGAUGCAGCAACGCCGCGUGGAGGAUGACACAUUUCGGUGCGUAAACUCCUUUUAUAUGAGAAGAAAAUGACGGUAUCAUAUGAAUAAGCGCCGGCUAACUCCGUGCCAGCAGCCGCGGUAAUACGGAGGGCGCAAGCGUUACUCGGAAUCACUGGGCGUAAAGAGCGUGUAGGCGGGUAGUUAAGUUGGAAGUGAAAUCCUAUGGCUCAACCAUAGAACUGCUUCCAAAACUGAUUACCUAGAAUAUGGGAGAGGUAGAUGGAAUUUCUGGUGUAGGGGUAAAAUCCGUAGAGAUCAGAAGGAAUACCGAUUGCGAAGGCGAUCUACUGGAACAUUAUUGACGCUGAGACGCGAAAGCGUGGGGAGCAAACAGGAUUAGAUACCCCGGUAGUC